rnacentral:misc_RNA from 1 species
UGGACUACAGGGGUUUCUAAUCCCUUUCGCUCCCCACGCUUUCGUGCCUGAGCGUCAGUAACUGUCCAGGAAGCCGCCUUCGCCACUGGUGUUCCUCACGAUAUCUACGCAUUUCACUGCUACACCGUGAAUUCCGCUUCCCUCUCCAGUACUCUAGCCGAAUAGUUUCGGGCGCCGGUUCGGGGUUGAGCCCCGAAAUUUCACACCCGACACAUCCGGCCGCCUGCGCACCCUUUACGCCCAGUAAAUCCGAACAACGCUUGCAGUCUCUGUAUUACCGCGGCGGCUGGCAC